UACGGAGGGGGCUAGCGUUGUUCGGAAUUACUGGGCGUAAAGCGCGCGUAGGCGGCUUUGUAAGUCAGAGGUGAAAGCCUGGAGCUCAACUCCAGAACUGCCUUUGAGACUGCAUCGCUAGAAUCAUGGAGAGGUAAGUGGAAUUCCGAGUGUAGAGGUGAAAUGCGUAGAUAUCGGGAGGAACACCAGUGGCGAAGGCGGCAUCCUGGCCCUGUCCUGACGCUCAGGGGCGAAAGCGUGGGGAGCAAACCGG
rnacentral:rRNA from 1 species